rnacentral:rRNA from 1 species
UACGUAGGGGCCUAGCGUUGUCCGGAAUCAUUGGGCGUAAAGAGCUCGUAGGCGGUUCGGCAAGUCACGUGUGAAAUCUCCACGCUUAACGUGGAGGCGCCACGUGAAACUGCCGUGGCUCGAGUCCGGUAGGGGAGUGUGGAAUUCCCGGUGUAGCGGUGAAAUGCGUAGAUAUCGGAAGGAACGCCGGUGGCGAAAGCGGCGUGCUGGACCCUUUCUGACGCUGAGGCGCGAAAGCCAGGGGAGCGAACGGG